rnacentral:rRNA from 1 species
CCUACGGGUGGCAGCAGUGAGGAAUAUUGGUCAAUGGCCGAAAGGCUGAACCAGCCAAGUCGCGUGAAGGAAGAAGGCCCUACGGGUUGUAAACUUCUUUUAUAGGGGAGUAAAGGGAGGCACGUGUGACUAUUUGUAUGUACUUUAUGAAUAAGGAUCGGCUAACUCCGUGCUAGCAGCCGCGGUAAUACGGAGGAUCCGAGCGUUAUCCGGAUUUAUGGGGGUUAAAGGGUGCGUAGAUUGGUUGUUAAGUCAGCUGUGAAAGUUUGUGGCUCAACCGUAAAAUUGCAGUUGAUACUGGCAGCCUUGAGUACAGUUGAGGUAGGCGGAAUUCGUGGUGUAGCGGUGAAAUGCUUAGAUAUCACGCAGAACUCCGAUUGCGAAGGCAGCUUACUAAGCCGCCACUGACAUUGAUGCUCGAAAGUGUGGGUAUCAAACAGGAUUAGAUACCCCUGUAGUC